CUGUUUAGACAGAGAGAGAGACGGUUGCUCAGGGAGAGAGAGAGAGAGAGAGAGAGAGAGAGAGAGAGAGAGAGAGAGAGAGAGAGAGAGAGAGAGAAAGAGAGAGAGAGUUAGAGAUAGUGUGGGAGGGGACGGUAGAGUUUAAAGGCAGCGACUGUGAUAACUGAUAUUAUUCGGUCUCCGCUGAAACGGGGAAGCACCUACCACGCGCUUCCUAUGUCUCUGUCACUUUAAGACUGUUACUGAUUAGUCGCUGAAGAAUGCGAGUGGAAAGCGAAAAAACGUGUGGAACUCGUAUGGAGAAGACUGAUAAUGCUGUUGAGCUCAGUGGAGUUUUGUUUUAUUUUCCAGCAGCGAGACGUUAGAGAACAGACUUCAGACUCUUGACCAGUUCUUUCUCGGCUCGGCUGGAUGAGGGGGAAGUUGGGGACCCCGCACAAGCAGCGCUCAGCCAUCAGGAAAUGCUCUUUUCACCCAGACUGAGUGUGUUCAGAUGGGCUGUUCAGAUCCUACAAUUCUCCAAAUCUUCAGGAAGUGAUGGCGGUGAGAAACCGAGGAUGGCUCAACUGGACAACGGCUUGUUUUUAGGGUGCCCAUGAGGUGCUCAGUAGUCAGUGUAGAUCCUGUGUUGCAAUCAGCAGCUACAUCUGGCUACUGGGUCUCUGAUGGCAUUUUCCACUUCCUGUUGGCACAUUCCUUUCAUAUUGUGUGGUAUGUUAUCACAAUUCGUGCUUCAUCCUGUCAGAAUGGGACCCGGUCUGUGUCAUGAACGUUAAAGAGGGCCGUCGUCUCCUAUGUAACAGACCGUUUCUGCUCUGCUCUGCUCUGCUCUGCUCUUCCUUUCUGUUUCUUUUUUAGACCAUUCAAACUUUUUUGUGCCGAGUAUGUAUUUUAUUUUUCUUAAAAGAAUUUGAUCAAGGUGAGUUGAGCUGUCGAGAUAUGCUUUAAAGCCCUGAGAAAUGAUUUCUGACAUCUGUUCAACAUUCUUUGAAAGGAUCGGCACAUUGUUUUCUAUUUGACUGUCGAAGAUUCAAUUUAAGUGAUUAGGUAACAAAGGACAAGGCGAGAUGUCAUUCUCUUUGUGAUUUGUCUGUCAGCGGGACUGUCUUUGUGCGAAUGUUUUCGAGUUGCUGAAGGCUGACAAAUAAUGAGAGUUAAAUUUGAGGACUCUGGAAUCUCAUUGGCUUUCGAGUAUGAAGGAUGAAUUAUUUUGUGUUGUCGUGAACCUGGCAUACAAUGUAGAUUUCUGUGUGGUUCAAUCUACAGCUACAUUGUCUGCUGGGUUUCAAGCCAGCUAAAAAAUCUGCUCUGCUCUGCUCAUAAAUUGAAUAGGUAAGUUGUACGUUUUUUUAAUGUCUAUGCAUGCUUUACAUACUGCAGCAAAACAAAAAUAAAAUCACUAAAAAUAUACUUUUGUGUCUGAUUUAUUCUUGUAGGCAAAGCAUAUUCAUUGUACAGUAUUGGUGUUUAUUCUGGUUAGGGGUUCAGCUGGAUAUUUGCAGGGCUGCACUGAUUCCAUCCAAUGACAGACUGUCAAAUUUCACCAGGGAUUAAAAAGGCAUCCAAGAUAUUCACAGUACACCCAGAAGAGUGUCUUAUCACUAUUACCCAUCUGUGUCUGAAUACACCCACCCACAACACGCACGCAGUGGAAUAGUUGGGCGAAGAAUCAGUAUACAUAUUCAAACAAUCCAAAAUCACAUUUCUACCUGAAAUCUACUGUAGUAAUAUUGCGUACAGUAAUAUCUUUAGGGACUUGGUCGCGUAGAAGAACUAAUGAAGAACCCAAGAAAACCUGACGCCCUCAGAGAACUCAGUUUAUUAAAUCUUCACACAAUCUGUCUGCAAUAUUGACAGAAAUUGCUCGCAGGAACGCUAUUGCAUUUCUCUCAGUCAUGACUUCGUAUUGCGUGUUUUUGUAAUACGACAGUUGCCCACCGCCAGCAUAUUUCAUAUUACGGUAUAAUUUACAAUACAGUUAGAGUAAUGAAGUCCAGCCAGUAGAUGAUUAUCCUGGCGUUGCAUCUUAAUUUCAUUCAAUUUGAUAGAGAAAAAUAUUCAUUAUGCUUAAAAGAGCACAUCAAAACUUAACAGCAGGACAGAACUUCAGUUUGCACACAAUUAUCUUGCAGUAGCUCCUGUAACUGGUAGCAACACAUAGGUCAUGGGUUCGACCCUCAAGGUGCAGACCUACUGUAAAGUUCUUUUUUUUACAAAAGAACAUCUGCCAAAUCCAGAAAUAUCUUGUUAGAUUUAGGACACAGCGCACAGAGAGUUUAAAGGUCGGACUGCAGUUGGGCAUACUGUUGGCAUGGGCACAGGUGUUCCCGAUGAUGUCAUUUCCCCUUGCACUACUGUUUGGACAACAGGAAUAUGGAGGCAGGUGGUCAUGAUCUGCUGUAUCUAGAGCUGUGCUUUAUACUGGCUGCCAAAGCAGCGGAUACUGGAAUCACAACAGGAACAGCGCGAACACACUCGAGCUGCUCCAGGAACAGUCACUUCCCAUCUGUCUGCUCAACCCAUCAGGAGACACAGUCAUCAUGUGACUGUAUUUGCUCUUUAUGAAGUGCUAAAUUCACACCACUCAGAGGAGGGAUGAAACCAUUUCACAACACUGCAAAAGAACCAGUCUUCAGUCUUGUUUUCCAAUAAAAGAUCAAUUAAGAUCAGUGUGAAAGCAAAUAAAUGAAUAAGUUGCUGUUGGCAACAUGUUUGUAUUGCACCAUUUUAUAACAUUUCAUUUAGACAGUAAUAAAUGCUCUCAUUUGUAAGUCACUUUGGAUAAAAUCAUCUGCUAAAUCAGGGGUUUUCAAACUUUUAAAUGCCAACAACCCCCAAAUAUGAUUCAUCUUUUGCCAGAUUGUAUAAAGAAGCAUUU